AGUGUCAUCUGAUGAAGAAUUUUGGAUGUAAAAACAUAUCAGUAUUCCUGAGUGCGCAAAACCGUGCGGAUAAUUUCCAUGUUGCCUUCCUUCUGAUCAGACAC
rfam:Hortaea werneckii EXF-2000 unitig_411, whole genome shotgun sequence.